AAAUAAAACUAAUAGUUAUUAGUACGAAAGGACCAUAAUUAUUAAAAAUUUUAAAUCUAUAAGAAAUCAUAUAAAUUUAUUUAAUUUA
rnacentral:rRNA from 1 species